GCUCAGGAUGAACGCUAGCUACAGGCUUAACACAUGCAAGUCGAGGGGCAGCAUGGUCUUAGCUUGCUAAGGCCGAUGGCGACCGGCGCACGGGUGAGUAACACGUAUCCAACCUGCCGUCUACUCUUGGACAGCCUUCUGAAAGGAAGAUUAAUACAAGAUGGCAUCAUGAGUCCGCAUGUUCACAUGAUUAAAGGUAUUCCGGUAGACGAUGGGGAUGCGUUCCAUUAGAUAGUAGGCGGGGUAACGGCCCACCUAGUCUUCGAUGGAUAGGGGUUCUGAGAGGAAGGUCCCCCACAUUGGAACUGAGACACGGUCCAAACUCCUACGGGAGGCAGCAGUGAGGAAUAUUGGUCAAUGGGCGAGAGCCUGAACCAGCCAAGUAGCGUGAAGGAUGACUGCCCUAUGGGUUGUAAACUUCUUUUAUAAAGGAAUAAAGUCGGGUAUGGAUACCCGUUUGCAUGUACUUUAUGAAUAAGGAUCGGCUAACUCCGUGCCAGCAGCCGCGGUAAUACGGAGGAUCCGAGCGUUAUCCGGAUUUAUUGGGUUUAAAGGGAGCGUAGAUGGAUGUUUAAGUCAGUUGUGAAAGUUUGCGGCUCAACCGUAAAAUUGCAGUUGAUACUGGAUAUCUUGAGUGCAGUUGAGGCAGGCGGAAUUCGUGGUGUAGCGGUGAAAUGCUUAGAUAUCACGAAGAACUCCGAUUGCGAAGGCAGCCUGCUAAGCUGCAACUG
rnacentral:rRNA from 2 species